rnacentral:lncRNA from 2 species
ACUUUGUUUACAGUCCCUUGUGCAGGGAGCUGCAUCCCCCUCUUAUGCUUGCUCCGGGCGAGUGUCCGCCGCAGUCCCGUCCGGCGGUCGGGAGGAAACUUCCAUGCUAGAAUAUUGUCACCUCCAGUUCAUCAUUCAGCAACAUCUGACACUUCAAAGCCUGGAGCGGCUCUUUCUGCUGCAUGACUCUGCCUUGAAUUGA